AUUGAACGCUGGCGGCAGGCCUAACACAUGCAAGUCGAACGGUAGCACAGAGAGCUUGCUCUCGGGUGACGAGUGGCGGACGGGUGAGUAAUGUCUGGGAAACUGCCUGAUGGAGGGGGAUAACUACUGGAAACGGUAGCUAAUACCGCAUAACGUCGCAAGAUCAAAGAGGGGGACCUUCGGGCCUCUUGCCAUCAGAUGUGCCCAGAUGGGAUUAGCUAGUAGGUGGGGUAACGGCUCACCUAGGCGACGAUCCCUAGCUGGUCUGAGAGGAUGACCCGCCACACUGGAACUGAGACACGGUCCAGACUCCUACGGGAGGCAGCAGUGGGGAAUAUUGCACAAUGGGCGCAAGCCUGAUGCAGCCAUGCCGCGUGUAUGAAGAAGGCCUUCGGGUUGUAAAGUACUUUCAGCGGGGAGGAAGGUGUUGUGGUUAAUAACCACAGCAAUUGACGUUACCCGCAGAAGAAGCACCGGCUAACUCCGUGCCAGCCGCCGCAGUAA
rnacentral:rRNA from 1 species